CGGAACUGAUGGGAGACUGUGCCGGGGUCCAGCUCACACAGCCCCCUCCCAGCUCGCCCUCCUUGGAGCCUCUUAAGGCACUCCCUGCCCACAGACCGACAGCCUCCAUGUUCAGAGAAAGGUUUUCAACAGCAACCAUGGCUGAAGCUUCUGCAAAACCCAGUGGCUCCGGGAGACUCCCUUGCCAGGCCAACAAGCCUGCCUGGGCCUGGGUCUGCCCUGCGGGCUCCCUCUGUCUGCGCUCCUGGCCAGGCAGGGUGGGUCGGGGCAGACGGGGUCUCAGCAGUGGACACAACGUUCUGGUUCAGCGGAAGGACCUUAAACUCCGAGACAAGGGCACGGCAGUAAAGGAUGAGGUGGCCGAACCCCCCAGUUCUGCGGCGAGCAGACCCCAGGUUCUGGACUCAUCCUGGCGGAGUGGAGGACAUCACUCGUAGGGCUGACUGCUCCAUGAUAUAAAAAAAU